rnacentral:rRNA from 1 species
ACCGGCAAACGGGGGAAGAACAGGUACGCAACCUUCCUUUAAGCGGGGAAUAGCCCAGGGAAACUUGGAUUAAUACCCCAUAAGAAUGUGGAAAGGCAUCUUUCAGCAUUUAAAGCUUCGGCACUUAAAGAUGGGCGUGCGGCUGAUUAGGUAGUUGGCGGGGUAACGGCCCACCAAGCCGACGAUCAGUAACUGGUGUGAGAGCACGACCAGUCACACGGGCACUGAGACACGGGCCCGACUCCUACGGGAGGCAGCAGUAAGGAAUAUUGGUCAAUGGACGCAAGUCUGAACCAGCCAUGCCGCGUGGAGGAUGAAGGCCCUCUGGGUUGUAAACUUCUUUUAUAGGGGAAGAAACCGGACUUUUCUAAGACCGUUGACGGUACCCUGUGAAUAAGCACCGGCUAACUCCGUGACUCCGUGCCAGCAGCCGCGGUAAUACGGAGGGUGCAAGCGUUAUCCCGGAUUCACUGGGUUUAAAGGGUGCGUAGGGUGAGGUAAGUCAGUGGUGAAAUCUCCGGGCUUAACCCGGAAACUGCCGUUGA